GCUCAGAGUGAACGCUGGCGGUAGGCCUAACACAUGCAAGUCGAACGGCAGCACAGUAAGAGCUUGCUCUUAUGGGUGGCGAGGGUGAGGAAUACAUCGGAAUCUACCUUUUCGUGGGGGAUAACGUAGGGAAACUUACGCUAAUACCGCAUACGACCUUCGGGUGAAAGCAGGGGACCUUCGGGCCUUGCGCGGAUAGAUGAGCCGAUGUCGGAUUAGCUAGUUGGCGGGGUAAAGGCCCACCAAGGCGACGAUCCGUAGCUGGUCUGAGAGGAUGAUCAGCCACACUGGAACUGAGACACGGUCCAGACUCCUACGGGAGGCAGCAGUGGGGAAUAUUGGACAAUGGGCGCAAGCCUGAUCCAGCCAUACCGCGUGGGUGAAGAAGGCCUUCGGGUUGUAAAGCCCUUUUGUUGGGAAAGAAAAGCAGUCGGUUAAUACCCGGUUGUUCUGACGGUACCCAAAGAAUAAGCACCGGCUAACUUCGUGCCAGCAGCCGCGGUAAUACGAAGGGUGCAAGCGUUACUCGGAAUUACUGGGCGUAAAGCGUGCGUAGGUGGUUGUUUAAGUCUGUUGUGAAAGCCCUGGGCUCAACCUGGGAAUUGCAGUGGAUACUGGGCGACUAGAGUGUGGUAGAGGGUAGUGGAAUUCCCGGUGUAGCAGUGAAAUGCGUAGAGAUCGGGAGGAACAUCCAUGGCGAAGGCAGCUANCCNGGACCA
rnacentral:rRNA from 1 species